ACCACUGUACUUCAGUGGCAGAGCAUGUGCCUUGCAUACAGAAGUUCCCAGGUUCAAUACCUGGCGUCUGCAGGUA